rnacentral:rRNA from 1 species
UACGAAGGGGACUAGCGUUGUUCGGAUUUACUGGGCGUAAAGCGCGCGUAGGCGGAUCGCUAAGUCAGGGGUGAAAUCCCAGGGCUCAACCCUGGAACUGCCUUUGAUACUGACGAUCUGGAGAUCGGGAGAGGUUGGUGGAAUUCCGAGUGUAGAGGUGAAAUUCGUAGAUAUUCGGAGGAACACCAGAAGCGAAAGGCGGCCAACUGGCCCGAUACUGACGCUGAGGCGCGAAAGCGUGGGGAGCAAACAGG